UACGUAGGGGGCAAGCGUUGUCCGGAUUCAUUGGGCGUAAAGAGGGUGUAGGCGGCCAGGUAGGUCGGUUGUGAAAACUGGAGGCUCAACCUUCAGAGGUCGACCGAAACCAUCUGGCUAGAGUCCGGGAGAGGAGACUGGAAUUCCUGGUGUAGCGGUGAAAUGCGCAGAUAUCAGGAGGAACACCGGUGGCGACGCCGGGUCUCUGGGCAACAACUGACGCUGAGGAGCGAAAGCGUGGGGAGCGAACAGG
rnacentral:rRNA from 1 species